GUCAGGAUGGCCGAGCUGUCCAAGACGCUGCGUUCAGGUCGCAGUUCACUCUGUGGGCGUGGGUUCGAAUCCCACUCCUGACA
rfam:Schistosoma rodhaini strain Burundi genome assembly, scaffold: SROB_scaffold0004732